UGGGGAAUUUUGGACAAUGGGCGAAAGCCUGAUCCAGCAAUGCCGCGUGUGUGAAGAAGGCCUUCGGGUUGUAAAGCACUUUUGUCCGGAAAGAAAUCCUUGGCUCUAAUACAGUCGGGGGAUGACGGUACCGGAAGAAUAAGCACCGGCUAACUACGUGCCAGCAGCCGCGGUAAUACGUAGGGUGCAAGCGUUAAUCGGAAUUACUGGGCGUAAAGCGUGCGCAGGCGGUUUGCUAAGACCGAUGUGAAAUCCCCGGGCUCAACCUGGGAACUGCAUUGGUGACUGGCAGGCUAGAGUAUGGCAGAGGGGGGUGGAAUUCCACGUGUAGCAGUGAAAUGCGUAGAGAUGUGGAGGAAUACCGAUGGCGAAGGCAGCCCCCUGGGCCAAUACUGACGCUCAUGCACGAAAGCGUGGGGAGCAAACAGGAUUAGAUACCCUGGUAGUCCACGCCCUAAACGAUGUCACUAGUUGUUGGGGAUUCAUUUCCUUAGUAACGUAGCUAACGCGUGGAGUUGACCGCCUGGGGAGUACGGUCGCAAGAUUAAAACUCAAAUGAAUUGACGGGGUCAUAGCUGUUUCCUG
rnacentral:rRNA from 1 species